rnacentral:lncRNA from 1 species
CGGGCUAAUUUAUGUUAAAAAAUUGAAUGAAAAACAAAUAUGUAACACAUAAACAAACGACAACCACUGAUUUACAGGCUCUGGACUUGGGACAGGCACAUACAUACAAAAUGUGGCGUGGUUAAACAUGUUAGCGGGCUCCCAAUCCUCAAGUUUUAUGCAAAUAGUUAAGGCUGAAGCUAUGUUAGAUCCUCUAUGUCUUCCAUAAUGUUACAUUUGUUGCAGUUCAGAAAACAAUUGGAAAUUGUAUUAUUUAAAAAAAGUAUGUAAAAAUAAAUUAAAAACCUGUAAUAUUUCAAGAAUACUAGACAAUGAUAAUAAAAAAUACAUUUU